AUUUAUAGCACCUUGGAAGACUAGCCAAGGGAGCUGAAAUGCAAGGCCUGGAAAGGACAGGGGGAAAUCAAAGGGGCCACCUAUGGCGGCAGGAGAACUGAGCCUCAGGAUGAGCUGUGUGCUUCUCCAGAUUUAAGUCAAAUGAAAGAGCACUUAUGAUGAACCCCACAUCCAUCGGCAGCAUACUGUUGGAAUGUUGCAACCGACCAAUGGGAGAGAGCACGUCCCAGGCAAACCAGCCUCUGCUUUGCCUGGGCAGAGGCAGCGUGAGAGCUUGUAUGAGUAAGUACCUACAUAGAGCCCAGGUUUGCUGGAAUAGAAUGACUUGUAGCACAUUUUGCUAAAUUCAAGUAUAAGGAUAGAAAUCAAAAGAGCCCAAGACUGUUCAUUCACUCGCUUGACACUUAAACCACUGUGCCCGCCGUGGGAUCACUGCUGCAGUGGCUUCCGGAGACGCCAUGGUGAGCAAAGUACUCCUAUCCAUGGUAUGCUGGUCUUCGUGUCCCUCGGUGAAUAAC